rnacentral:rRNA from 1 species
GGGGAAUUUUCCGCAAUGGGCGAAAGCCUGACGGAGCAAUACAGCGUGAGGGAGGAAGGCUCUUGGGUUGUAAACCUCUUUUCUCAGGGAAUAAGUUCUGAAGGUACCUGAGGAAUCAGCAUCGGCUAACUCCGUGCCAGCAGCCGCGGUAAUACGGAGGAUGCAAGCGUUAUCCGGAAUGAUUGGGCGUAAAGCGUCCGCAGGUGGCUGUGUAAGUCUGCUGUUAAAGAGCAAGGCUCAACUUUGUA